rnacentral:rRNA from 3 species
AGAGUUUGAUCAUGGCUCAGAUUGAACGCUGGCGGCAGGCCUAACACAUGCAAGUCGAGCGGUAGCACAGAGAGCUUGCUCUCGGGUGACGAGCGGCGGACGGGUGAGUAAUGUCUGGGAAACUGCCUGAUGGAGGGGGAUAACUACUGGAAACGGUAGCUAAUACCGCAUAACGUCGCAAGACCAAAGUGGGGGACCUUCGGGCCUCAUGCCAUCAGAUGUGCCCAGAUGGGAUUAGCUAGUAGGUGGGGUAAUGGCUCACCUAGGCGACGAUCCCUAGCUGGUCUGAGAGGAUGACCAGCCACACUGGAACUGAGACACGGUCCAGACUCCUACGGGAGGCAGCAGUGGGGAAUAUUGCACAAUGGGCGCAAGCCUGAUGCAGCCAUGCCGCGUGUGUGAAGAAGGCCUUCGGGUUGUAAAGCACUUUCAGCGGGGAGGAAGGCGGUGAGGUUAAUAACCUCAUCGAUUGACGUUACCCGCAGAAGAAGCACCGGCUAACUCCGUGCCAGCAGCCGCGGUAAUACGGAGGGUGCAAGCGUUAAUCGGAAUUACUGGGCGUAAAGCGCACGCAGGCGGUCUGUCAAGUCGGAUGUGAAAUCCCCGGGCUCAACCUGGGAACUGCAUUCGAAACUGGCAGGCUAGAGUCUUGUAGAGGGGGGUAGAAUUCCAGGUGUAGCGGUGAAAUGCGUAGAGAUCUGGAGGAAUACCGGUGGCGAAGGCGGCCCCCUGGACAAAGACUGACGCUCAGGUGCGAAAGCGUGGGGAGCAAACAGGAUUAGAUACCCUGGUAGUCCACGCCGUAAACGAUGUCGAUUUGGAGGUUGUGCCCUUGAGGCGUGGCUUCCGGAGCUAACGCGUUAAAUCGACCGCCUGGGGAGUACGGCCGCAAGGUUAAAACUCAAAUGAAUUGACGGGGGCCCGCACAAGCGGUGGAGCAUGUGGUUUAAUUCGAUGCAACGCGAAGAACCUUACCUGGUCUUGACAUCCACAGAACUUUCCAGAGAUGGAUUGGUGCCUUCGGGAACUGUGAGACAGGUGCUGCAUGGCUGUCGUCAGCUCGUGUUGUGAAAUGUUGGGUUAAGUCCCGCAACGAGCGCAACCCUUAUCCUUUGUUGCCAGCGGUUCGGCCGGGAACUCAAAGGAGACUGCCAGUGAUAAACUGGAGGAAGGUGGGGAUGACGUCAAGUCAUCAUGGCCCUUACGACCAGGGCUACACACGUGCUACAAUGGCAUAUACAAAGAGAAGCGACCUCGCGAGAGCAAGCGGACCUCAUAAAGUAUGUCGUAGUCCGGAUUGGAGUCUGCAACUCGACUCCAUGAAGUCGGAAUCGCUAGUAAUCGUAGAUCAGAAUGCUACGGUGAAUACGUUCCCGGGCCUUGUACACACCGCCCGUCACACCAUGGGAGUGGGUUGCAAAAGAAGUAGGUAGCUUAACCUUCGGGAGGGCGCUUACCACUUUGUGAUUCAUGACUGGGGUGAAGUCGUAACAAGGUAACCGUAGGGGAACCUGCGGUUGGAUCACCU